rnacentral:lncRNA from 1 species
AAUUAUAAUAUCAUUCCAAACAAUAAAAAUAAUGAAUAAUUACCUAUAUACUCCUCAUACGUUUAAAAAUAUCCGAUUUACGUAAUCAAAAUUUAAAUCCCCGUUAAAAAUUUCUAUACAUAAUUAGAAUUUAAAUCCCCUUAUGAAUAUGUUUCUACAGCUGUUUUGUUUUAUCUCUAUUUUCAUUUGUGAGAGAGAAAGAAAGCAUGUUAUAUUCACUCAUUUUUUUAAAAAAUAAUAAAUUCAGUAUCGAUCAUCUCUAGCGCAAAUAACAUGCUAUCUUUCUAUAAAAAUAAAAAAAAGAGUUCCAGCUUAAAAUAUAAAGCAACUGAACUUUACACUUGAAACUUUAGAUAUCAAUUAUUAAAUUUUUAAUAAACUGCGCUAAAAAUAAUGAGUAUGUGAUGAUUUGAGGUGGAUUCUUAGGGCUAUUCCUGAUCCAAAUUGUUUGCACGCACAUCAGAGCAGCAUAUUCCACGAACUUGGGUGAGAAACAUAGGAGUACUCUUUUUUUUAGAGGUAGGUAGCAUGCUACCCGCUUCGUUUAUUUCAUUUAGAAAUAAACUUAGCUGCAAAUGUGAAUAAACUAGAAUUCGAACUUGGGACCUCGGGUACCAACCACCAAGCCCUUUGCCACUUGUUCUAGGGACGGUCGGUAACAUAGGAGUACUCUGGCCUGUGAUUAUUGUUAGUAUAUAUAUUUCUAGUCCCGUUUCAGUGUACGUACGUAGAUCGAGUUCUUGGUUUAAGUACGUCAUUAUCCGUACUUUUUUUGAGAGAAAUGUAGCAUGCUAUCCGCUUCGCUUAAUUUUUCUAAAAAUAAACUUAGCUAGAAAUGUGAAUCAACUAUGAUUCGAACUUGGGACCUCGAGUACCAACUAUCAAGUCGUUUGUCACUUGCGCUAGGAACAGUCGGUUUGUUCACUAAAAGUUGUAUGCCAGUUUUUGCGACAUCUCGGAAUUUGAAAUAUUUUUAUACACAUAAAGUAUAAUAGAAUAAUAAUCUUUUAAUCUGAUUAUAAUAUUUUGAACGGUGAAUAUAUUCAAAAGAUUAAGAGCAUUAAAUGUGUUAGGACUAAAAUAGUUUUAUAAUAAGUGAUCCUCCUAAGCAGCCGGACAUUACAAUUAGAUAUCAGAGUCAAUCACUAGGUGAAAACAUAAGAUGAAUAUUCUUAGUUGAUUUAGAGUUAUACAACGGAUAGAGCGUGACUCCCGACUGACGAUCAUUGUUGGUGGGGCGCUGCUCCCAUAAGAUUGGCUAAAAUAGACUACAAUAUUUUCAAUAGUGAUUAGCAUUAGAAGAUAAAAAAAAUUAAGUGUGUUAGAAGUAGAAUAGUCCUAAAAUUAAUAACCUCUCUGAAAAGCAGCCAAUCAACAAUCUAUUCAAC